GGGGAUGACAGGCAUCGACGGUUAGUCCCGGUAGUAUGUGCAGUGUCGAAGCUGAUCGUAACUUCGUUAAAAUGCGAUCAUUCGUACGUGCUAAGAAUAGCGUACCAAGUCCUUACGCGAACGCGUUUGGAUUCGCAUUUGCUCGAGCGUAAGUAAUUACUGCUCGCUCAUGCGACAUCACCCUUUCUGGUAUCCGAUACAGAUUUGGUGGUGAAAUAAAAAUCGGACUCGAACACGUUACCCCGUUUCCAUAAUGUGUUUUAAAUUCUAAGGAGACUCGGGGAUGUAUGAUUUUGUGUGUCUUACACAUACAUCACUUAAAUCAAAGGACACUCUACGCACUGUAGAGUCAUGCUAACGACCUAGCUCGGACCCGGGUUCAACUCCCGGCAUCUCCACAU
rnacentral:tmRNA from 2 species